rnacentral:rRNA from 1 species
AGUGAACGCUGGCGGUAGGCCUAACACAUGCAAGUCGAACGGCAGCACAGUAAGAGCUUGCUCUUACGGGUGGCGAGUGGCGGACGGGUGAGGAAUACAUCGGAAUCUACUUUUUCGUGGGGGAUAACGUAGGGAAACUUACGCUAAUACCGCAUACGACCUACGGGUGAAAGCAGGGGAUCUUCGGACCUUGCGCGAUUGAAUGAGCCGAUGUCGGAUUAGCUAGUUGGCGGGGUAAAGGCCCACCAAGGCGACGAUCCGUAGCUGGUCUGAGAGGAUGAUCGGCCACACUGGAACGGAGACACGGCCCAGACUCCUAGGGGAGGCAGCAGUGGGGAAUAUUGAACAAGGGGGGCAAGCCGAUGCCAGCCAGACCGCGUGGGUGAAGAAGGCCUUCGGGUUGUAAAGCCCUUUUUUUGGGAAAAAAAAGCAGCAGGUUAAUACCCCGCUGUUCUGAGGGUACCCAAAAAAUAGGCACCGGCAAACUUCGU